rnacentral:rRNA from 1 species
GAUUUCUGGUUGACCAUCCUGGCCCGCGUCCUCACGGGCGUGUGUGCUGGUGUGAGUCUUCCAUCCUUCUAGAGAGCCGUGCCUGCUGUUCACUCAGCUGGGCAUGUGCGAUCUAGAUCAUUUACUUUGAAAAAAUUAGAGUGUUUAAAGCAGGCUUAUGCCAGAAUACAUUAGCAUGGAAUAAUAAAAUAGGACUUUGGUUCUAUUUUGUUGGUUUCUAGAACUGAAGUAAUGAUUGAUAGGGAUAGUUGGGGGUGCUAGUAUUCAGCGGCCAGAGGUGAAAUUCUUGGAUUCGCUGAAGACUAACUACUGCGAAAGCAUU